GAUGAACGCUGGCGGCGUGCCUAAUACAUGCAAGUCGAGCGAACAGACGAGGAGCUUGCUCCUCUGACGUUAGCGGCGGACGGGUGAGUAACACGUGUAUAACCUACCUAUAAGACUGGGAUAACUUCGGGAAACCGGAGCUAAUACCGGAUAAUAUAUUGAACCGCAUGGUUCAAUAGUGAAAGACGGUUUUGCUGUCACUUAUAGAUGGAUCCGCGCCGCAUUAGCUAGUUGGUAAGGUAACGGCUUACCAAGGCGACGAUGCGUAGCCGACCUGAGAGGGUGGUCGGCCACCCUGGAACUGAGACAGGGUCCAGACUCCUACGGGAGGCAGCAGUAGGGAAUCUUCCGCAAUGGGCGAAAGCCUGACGGAGCAACGCCGCGUGAGUGAUGAAGGUCUUCGGAUCGUAAAACUCUGUUAUUAGGGAAGAACAAAUGUGUAAGUAACUAUGCACGUCUUGACGGUACCUAAUCAGAAAGCCACGGCUAACUACGUG
rnacentral:rRNA from 1 species